rnacentral:rRNA from 1 species
CACAAGUAGUUUACUUAUGAGGUGGCGAGCGGCGGACGGGUGAGUAAUGCCUAGGGAUCUGCCCAGUCGAGGGGGAUAACAGUUGGAAACGACUGCUAAUACCGCAUACGCCCUACGGGGGAAAGGAGGGGACCUUCGGGCCUUCCGCGAUUGGAUGAACCUAGGUGGGAUUAGCUAGUUGGUGAGGUAAUGGCUCACCAAGGCGACGAUCCCUAGCUGUUCUGAGAGGAUGAUCAGCCACACUGGGACUGAGACACGGCCCAGACUCCUACGGGAGGCAGCAGUGGGGAAUAUUGCACAAUGGGGGAAACCCUGAUGCAGCCAUGCCGCGUGUGUGAAGAAGGCCUUCGGGUUGUAAAGCACUUUCAGUAGGGAGGAAAGGUUGCAGUUUAAUACACUGUAGCUGUGACGUUACCUACAGAAGAAGGACCGGCUAACUCCGUGCCAGCAGCCGCGGUAAUACGGAGGGUCCGAGCGUUAAUCGGAAUUACUGGGCGUAAAGCGUGCGCAGGCGGUUUGUUAAGCGAGAUGUGAAAGCCCUGGGCUCAACCUAGGAAUAGCAUUUCGAACUGGCAAACUAGAGUCUUGUAGAGGGGGGUAGAAUUCCAGGUGUAGCGGUGAAAUGCGUAGAGAUCUGGAGG